rnacentral:rRNA from 1 species
GACGAACGCUGGCGGCGUGCUUAACACAUGCCAGUCGAACGAGUGGCGAACGGGUGAGUCAUAAGUCGGAACCUGCCCUCCUUUUUGGGAUAAGCCUUGGAAACGGGGUCUAAUACCGCAUAACGGGGGAUGGGCUCGCGGCCUAGCAGCUUGUUGGUUGGGUGAUGGACUACCAAGGCGGUGACGGGUUGCCGGUCUGAGAGGGUGACCGUCCACAUUGGGACUGAGAUACGGCCCAGACUCCUACGGGAGGCAGCAGUGGGGAAUAUUGGACAAUGGGCGAAAGCCUGAUCCAGCCAUGCCGCGUGUGUGAAGAAGGUCUUCGGAUUGUAAAGCACUUUAAGUUGGGAGUCGUUACCAACAGAAUAAGCACCGGCUAACUUCGUGCCAGCAGCCGCGGUAAUUC